UGAUGCCAUUAUCAUUUGGGAUACUUAGCUGACGAUUACCGAUCAGUACUUUCCAGAGAUAGUUCCCUGAAAAAUAGUCGGUUAUUUCCAGCAAUCAAUGCAUGGAGUUCACAUGUUAAAACAUGGAUAGGCAUUUCACCUAAUAGUUGGUUAUUUCUCAGUUGAUGCAAUCGACCAUCUACCAAUAUGACUAUGUCAUCUCACCUAAGGAGAUUUGCCAUUUGCUUCAGAAUGUCUGCCAAUGUUUUGGUUUAGAAAUUUGUGUAUUUCAAGACAUCUUUAACUUGCCUCACUAUGUUGCUAUCUCCUGGUAGGAUGGCCACCUCUGAAUGUUUGCAGAGAGAGGCUCAUAUGGACGCUGGCCAACUUAUAAGUUCAGAUGAUCAAGUGGUUUUCAUGAACUGUUUCAAACGAGCUGCUCGGAAGGGUCCUCAUAGAUCAGGUGAAGCAAGAAAUGGAAAUCAGAAAUCGCAAAAGACUAUAUGGAACAUCAGGGUUAUGGGAAUGACUCUUAAAAAGAGCCCGAGGGUUAUCUCAUAUGGGAAUGGCUCAUAACAUUCCAAGUGUUAUUGAAUUCUGGAUGGGCUAAAUAAGCAACGAUUUGCAUCCUUUCAUAUUGA